rnacentral:rRNA from 1 species
UACGAAGGGAGCUAGCGUUGUUCGGAAUUACUGGGCGUAAAGGGCGCGUAGGCGGUUUGAAAAGUUGGAUGUGAAAGCCCAGGGCUCAACCCUGGAAUUGCAUUCAAGACUGUUUUACUUGAAUUCGGUAGAGGUUGGUGGAAUUCCCAGUGUAGAGGUGAAAUUCGUAGAGAUUGGGAAGAACACCCGUGGCGAAGGCGGCCAACUGGACCGACAUUGACGCUGAGGCGCGAAAGCGUGGGGAUCAAACAGG